rnacentral:rRNA from 1 species
AGAGUGAACGCUGGCGGUAGGCCUAACACAUGCAAGUCGAACGGCAGCACGGUAAGAGCUUGCUCUUAUGGGUGGCGAGUGGCGGACGGGUGAGGAAUACAUCGGAAUCUACCUUUUGGUGGGGGAUAACGUAGGGAAACUUACGCUAAUACCGCAUACGCCCUUCGGGGGAAAGCCGGGACCAGCAAUGGCCUGGUGCUGAUAGAUGAGCCGAUGUCGGAUUAGCUAGUUGGUGAGGUAAUGGCUCACCAAGGCGACGAUCCGUAGCUAGGUCUGAGAGGAUGAUCAGCCACACUGGAACUGAGACACGUCCAGACU